ACAACCGUCCGCUACAGGGAGAGGAACGGAAGUGGAUCUACCAGACCUGCCCACCCAGCGACACUGUGAUUGACAACCUGAAGCCAACACCCAUAUGAGUUUUGGGGUCCGCUCCAACAAAGACGAACGCAGCGGAAUCUGGAGCAAGCCUGUCAUUCACAAACCAACAUGGGCGAGGGUUGGACAAAAGCAUCCAGAAACCCUACAAGCACCGGACCCCUAUUGUGAAGCCAAUGAAACCACCCAUGUCCCGUGCACUUUUCCCACCUCGUCCAGCUAUUCACAAUAAGACUCAGCCUAGACUCUCUCUGACCAAAAACCAAGCUUUCCCAGGAGCUCCCAAGACAUCUUUUGCACCACCAGAGAGCCACCUGGAAGCUAGACCUGACCCCCGCUCCAAUGAGCCUCAAUGGCCACAGUUCCCACUGGACGGAGGAAACAGUAUUAGAAAUGCUUCCUCUCAUCUCGUGGACCUCCCUCCUGCCCCCUCCCAACUCCUGCCCACCAAAACCCCCAGUACCUCCUCUGCCACCCCUGUCCUUAACAACCCCUCUCCACACGGUGAAAAGCAACAGGGACAGACCCAACCCAGGGGACCUACUAGCGCCACAGAGAAGCCACAUAACCCUUCCUCUGGAUCUCGUCCGUCCAAUCCUGUCAACAAAAAGACCAACCUGGUUGGCAAACCUGGUGAUAUGAACAAGCUGAAUGUCUUGAAGCAAACGGACAAGGCCUCCAUUUUGAAGAAGUUUCCCAUCAGUGACGGCUAAACCUGCCAAGCAAGACCGCAGACACACAACAACGACUACACCAUCAGUCAACGACAUCUGGUUUGAAACCUGGGAGAACUCCUCAUUAUUCAGCUCCCUACCGGCCUCUGACGUGGACGCAUUGGGAAAGAAACGUUUCGUUG